rnacentral:rRNA from 1 species
CUGAGACAGGUGCUGCAUGGCUGUCGUCAGCUCGUGUUGUGAAAUGUUGGGUUAAGUCCCGCAACGAGCGCAACCCUUAUCCUUUGUUGCCAGCGGUGGGGCCGGGAACUCAAAGGAGACUGCCAGUGAUAAACUGGAGGAAGGUGGGGAUGACGUCAAGUCAUCAUGGCCCUUACGAGUAGGGCUACACACGUGCUACAAUGGCGCAUACAAAGAGAAGCGACCUCGCGAGAGCAAGCGGACCUCAUAAAGUGCGUCGUAGUCCGGAUUGGAGUCUGCAACUCGACUCCAUGAAGUCGGAAUCGCUAGUAAUCGUAGAUCAGAAU